CCUACGGGAGACAGCAGUAGGGAAUUUUGCGCAAUGGGCGAAAGCCUGACGCAGCAACGCCGCGUGAUCGAGACGCCCUUCGGGGUGUAAAGAUCUGUCAGUGGGGACGAAACUUGACGGUACCCACAGAGGAAGCACCGGUUAACUCCGUGCCAGCAGCCGCGGUAAUACGGGGGGUGCAAGCGUUGUCCGGAUUCAUUGGGCGAAAAAAGUUCGUAGGCGGCACGUAAAGUCUGGGGUUAAAGGCAGAGGCGAAACUUCUGUACGGCACUGGUUACUUGCGAGCUAGAAGGCGUUAGGGGAAAAGGAAAUCCCGGUGGAGCGGUGAAAUGCUUAGAUAUCAGGAGGAACAUCGGUGGCGUAAGCGCUUUACUGGGCCGUAAUUGACGCUGAGGAACGAAAGCCAGGGUAGCAAAUGGGAUUAGAUACCCCAGUAGUC
rnacentral:rRNA from 1 species